rnacentral:rRNA from 1 species
CUGCUCAAUGAUUUUUUAAAUUGCUGUGGUAUUUUGACUAUACGAAGGUAUUGAAAUAAGAUCUUAAAUGGGUGCUAAGAGAAUGGUUGAACAAGGAUUUUCUUUCUUAAGUUAAAUUAUUAGAAGUUGGUUUUUGAGUGAAAAAACUUAAAUUAAAUUUUGGGACAAGAAGACCCUAUGAAUUUUUAUUAAUUAGUUUAUUAUAAGAUUUUAUAAUAAUUUAAUUAAUUUAAUUGGGGUGAUUUUUAAAGAUUGAGGAUCUUUAAUAAUUUUAAAGUUGAUCCAUUAUUAAUGAUUAUUUGAAAAAAAUACUCUAGGGAUAACAGCGUAAUAAUUUUGGAUAGUUCUUAUUGAUAAAGUUGAUUGCGACCUCGAUGUUGGAUUAAGAUACUUUUAUAAUGAAGAAGUUAUAAAAAGGAGUUUGCUCAACUUUUAAUAUCUUACGUGAUCUGAGUUCAGACCGG